rnacentral:rRNA from 1 species
AUUGAACGCUGGCGGCAGGCCUAACACAUGCAAGUCGAGCGGAUGAAGGGAGCUUGCUCCUGGAUUCAGCGGCGGACGGGUGAGUAAUGCCUAGGAAUCUGCCUUGUAGUGGGGGAUAACGUCCGGAAACGGGCGCUAAUACCGCAUACGUCCUGAGGGAGAAAGUGGGGGAGCUUCGGACCUCACGCCAUCAGAUGAGCCUAGGUCGGAUUCGCUAGUUGGUGGGGUAAAGGCCUACCCAGGCGGCGAUCCGUAACUGGUCUGAGAGGAUGGCCCGUCACACUGGCACUGAGGCACGGUCCCGACUCCUACGGGAGGCAGCAGUGGGGAAUCUUGGACGAUGGGCCAAAGCCUGAUCCAGCCAUGCCGCGUGUGUGAAGAAGGUCUUCGGAUUGUAAAGCACUUUAAGUUGGGGGGAAGGGCAGUAAGUUAAUACCUUGCUGUUUUGACGUUACCAACAGAAUAAGCACCGGCUAACUUCGUG